rnacentral:misc_RNA from 1 species
GAUGAAGAACGUAGCGAAAUGCGAUAAGUAAUGUGAAUUGCAGAAUUCAGUGAAUCAUCGAAUCUUUGAACGCACAUUGCGCCCGCCAGUAUUCUGGCGGGCAUGCCUGUUCGAGCGUCAUUUCAACCCUCAGGUCCCCCUUUUCGGAGGGGGAGACACCCUGGUGUUGGGGGACGGCAUCCUGGCCCGCUGUCUCACAGUGUGCCACGCCGCCCCCGAAAUGAAUUGGCGGCCUCGUCGCGUGCCACCCCUGCGUAGUAGCACAACCUCGCAACGGGAGCCGACGCGGCCACUGCCGUAAAACGCCCAACUUUUACCGAGUUGACCUCGAAUCAGGUAGGAAUACCCGCUGAACUUAAGCAUAUCAAUAAGCGGAGGA